rnacentral:rRNA from 1 species
UACGAAGGGGGCUAGCGUUGCUCGGAACCACUGGGCGUAAAGCGCACGUAGGCGGGUUGUUAAGUCGGGGGUGAAAUCCUGGAGCUCAACUCCAGAACUGCCUUCGAUACUGGCGACCUUGAGUCCGGGAGAGGUGAGUGGAACUCCGAGUGUAGAGGUGAAAUUCGUAGAUAUUCGGAAGAACACCAGUGGCGAAGGCGGCUCACUGGCCCGGUACUGACGCUGAGGUGCGAAAGCGUGGGGAGCAAACAGG